UUUUUUUUUUUUGUUUUUUGAUUUAUUGAAUGAACAAAGAAAAGACAAAAAAUCUCAUCCAACUGAUAUCAGACAUACACUGAAACAACAAAAAUAUAACAAUUUAUCAAAUUUAAAGGAACCUGUUACAUAUUUUUAACAUUAAUAGUCAAAUGUACAAAACGGCUCAAAUUCUCACUAGUUUAAUGCUUUGUAAUGCCUGGCCUGGCAUUGAAUUAUUAAGGCUCACUCAAAAUAGAAUCUUUAGAUGUAUGUUAUUUAAACCAUAGCUUUUUUUUUUUGACUGGAAAAUAGUUUCAAAACAAUAUGGACAAUGAUAAAAAAAAAUUUGACCAGUACAGGGUCUCAAUAAAAAAAAUGAACUAAUAGGCCUGCACAUGAAUUAUUCCCAAGUAAAUAGAAGAGAAACAUUAAUUCUAUUAGCUAUUCUUUGUAAAGAAAAACAACCAUAACCAUAUCAUUAUGAACUUUGAACUGAUCUACAUUCUGACAUACUUUGAAGCAAAUAUCAACUAUUAAAUGAUUACAGGUCAAGUUUGUCUGAAGAGCCCUGAUAUUUUUUUUUACUUCUUUGACCUAUUUGUGAGAAGCAGGAUUUUGGUUUUAUUUUGUUGCAACAUAGUCAAAGUAUAAUUCUAGAACCAGAUAUUAAAAUUAGCUUGUCAACAAACAGAUAUACACAAGUCUACACAAUACCAUCAAAGUCAUUAAGCCUUCAUUUUUCUGAUGCUUAUGUCUGUAUAUUUUAUUCUGGUCUUCUACAACACAAAAAAUAAUAAAAUUUAAUGAAAUCAUUUUCAGUAUUACUGGUAUUAAAUAUAAAUAAAAAAUCUUUUUUUUUUUUAAAGUUUGUCUUGUCCAGCUUAAGAGAUGUUGCCCUUUUUGCUAAGUUAUUGAUCUCUCACUGUUAAAUUGAUUGUUUGGUCAUUUGGUUCAGCCAUGUACUCAGUAAUUGUUAAAGUUCUUAUCACAGUCAAAUAAUAAAUCA